rnacentral:rRNA from 1 species
UACGGAGGGUGCGAGCGUUGUCCGGAAUCACUGGGCGUAAAGGGCGCGUAGGCGGCCCGGCAAGUCUGUGGUGAAAGCUCAGGGCUCAACUCUGAGUCGGCCACGGAUACUGCGGGGCUCGAGCACGGUAGAGGCAGGUGGAAUUCCGGGUGUAGCAGUGAAAUGCGUAGAGAUCGGGAGGAACACCAGUGGCGAAGGCGGCCUUCUGGACCAGUACUGACGCUCAUGCACGAAAGCGUGGGGAGCAAACAGG